rnacentral:misc_RNA from 1 species
CGCACCUUGCGCUCCUUGGUAUUCCGAGGAGCAUGCCUGUUUGAGUGUCAUGAAAUUCUCAACCUUCAAAACUUCUUUGUUGCGAAGGCUUGGACUUGGAGGUCGUGUCGGCGUCGCUGUCGACUCCUCUGAAAUGCAUUAGCGUGAAUCUUACGGAUCGCCUUCGGUGUGAUAAUUUCUGCGCCGCGGCCGUGAAGUAUAAUAGUGUUCGUGCUUACAACUGUCUGCAAAGACAAUUCUUCUUGACAAUCUGACCUCAAAUCAGGUAGGACUACCCGCUGAACUUAA